rnacentral:rRNA from 1 species
GACAUUUGGUAGAGACUGUUGAAGCCACCUGGUCCCAGCAGACCCCAGAAAACGGCCACAUUGGCUGGUGCUGGAACAAGGCCGUUAAGGGUGAAGCCUGGUGCCAGAUGUGU